GUCAGUAGUUUACAUACACUUAAGUUGAAGUCAUUAAAACUCAUUUUUUAAUCACUCCACAGAUUUCAUAUUAGCAAACUAUAGUUUUGGCAAGUUGUUUAGGACAUCUACUUUGUGCAUGUCACAAGUAAUUUUUCCAACAAUUGUUUACAGACAGAUUGUUUCACUUUUAAUUGACUAUAUCACAAUUCUAGUGGGUCAGAAGUUUACAUACACUAAGUUAACUGUGCCUUUAAGCUGCUUGGAAAAUUCCAGAAAAUGAUGUCAAGCCUUUAGGCAAUUAGCCGAUUAGCUUCUGAUAGGAGGUGUACUGAAUUGGAGGUGUACCUGUGGAUGUAUUUUAAGGCCUAUCUUCAAACUCAGUGCCUCUUUGCAUCAUGGGAAAAUCUAAAGAAAUCAGCCAAGACCUCAGAUAAAACUGAACUACAAGUCUGCUUCAUCCUUGGGAGCAAUUUCCAAACACCUGAAGAUACCACGUUCAUCUGUACAAACAAUAGUACACAAGUAUAAACACCAUGGGACCACACAGCCAUCAUACCGCUCAGGAAGGAGACGCAUUCUGUCUCCUAGAGAUGAAUGUAGUUUGGUGUGAAAGUGCAAAUCAAUCCCAGAACAACAGCAAAGGACCUUGUGAAGAUGCUGGAGGAAACAGGUAGACAAGUAUCUAUAUCCACAGUAAAACGAGUCCUAUAUCAACAUAACCUGAAAGGCUGCUCAGCAAGGAAGAAGCCACUGCUCCAAAACCGCCAUAAAAAAGCCAGACUACAGUUUGCAAGUGCACAUGGGGACAAAGAUCUUACUUUUUGGAGAAAUGUCCUCUGGUCUGAUGAAACAAAAAUGUAACUGUUUGGCCGUAAUGACCAUCGUUAUGUUUGGAGGAAAAAGGGUAAGGCUUGCAAGCCAAAGAAUACCAUCCCAACCGUGAAGAAUGGGGGUGGCAGCAUCAUGUUGUGGGGGUGCUUUGCUGCAGGAGGGACUGCUGCACUUCACAAAAUAGAUGGCAUCAUGAGGAUGGAAAAUGAUGUGGAUAUAUUGAAGCAACAUCUCAAGACAUCAGCCAGGAAGUUAAAGCUCGGUCGCAAAUGAGUCUUCCAAAUGGACAAUGACCCCAAACAUACCUCCAAAGUUGUGGCAAAAUGUCUUAAGCACAACAAAGUCAAGGUAUUGGAGUGUCCAUCACAAAGCCCUGACCUCAAUCCGAUAGGAAAUUUGUGGGCAGAACUGAAAAAGUGUGUGCGAGCAAGGAGGUCUACAAACCUGACUCAGUUACACCAGUUCUGUCUGGAGGAAUGGGACAAAAUUCCAGCAACUUAUUGUGAGAAGCUUGUGGAAGGAUACUCAAAACAUUUGACCCAAGUUAAACAAUUUAAAGGCAAUGCUCCCAAAUACUAACAAAGUGUAUGUAAACUUCUGACCCACUGGGAAUGUGAUGAAAGAAAUAAAAGCUGAAAUAAAUCAUUCUCUCUACUAUUAUUCUGACAUUUCACAUUCUUAAAAUAAAGUAGUGAUCCUAACUGACCUAAGACAGGGAAUGUUUUCUACGAUUAAAUGUCAGGAAUUGUGAAAAACUGAGUUUAAAUGUAUUUGGCUAAGGUGUAUGUAAACUUCUGACUUCAGCUGUAGAUGUGCAUGUGCCAGAUUUUGAGAGUAGAGAAACAAUGAAAGAUAUGAGAAGUUG